AUUUAAUGAUGAUUUUCAAACUCACACCAUCUUUCGGCUGAAGAAAGUUUUGAUGAUAGUUUUAAGCUGAUAUUCACA